UCUAAGGAAGCGUGGCGGAGGGCAGGUGCACUACGCGAACGAAGAGGCAACUCGAAAUCGCGGAAGCAUCCUGUGCAUCCGUUGGGCGAACCAAGGUUCAGGUCUAUUGAUUGAAGAAGGUUCAUGACGCUCCAGCCUGGAGCGUUUUGGGGGUGUAGCUCUGCUGGGAGAGCGCCUGCCUUGCAAGCAGGAGGCCAAGAGUUCGAUUCUCUUCAUCUCCAUCGCACCUUGACAACUGAAUCGAAGAAGAGAUUUCUGGUCAAAUCGAGAAGAGCACGAGGCGGAUGCCUUGGCACAUGGUGCCGAUGAAGGACGCGAGCAAGCGAUAACUGCGGUGAGUGGCAACACGCAUAGACCCGCAGGUUU
rnacentral:tRNA from 1 species